rnacentral:sRNA from 1 species
GCUGGGUGUGGUGUUGCACACCUGCAGUCCCUGCUAUUCAGGAGGCUGCGGUGGAAAAUUCUCUUGAGCCCAGGAGUUUGAGGCCAGCCUGGACAAUGUAGGGAGUUCACAUCUCAA